GAAAUGCGAUACGUAGUGUGAAUUGCAGAAUUCAGUGAAUCAUCGUAUCUUUGAACGCACAUUGCGCCCUUUGGUAUUCCAAAGGGCAUGCCUGUUCGAGCGUCAUUUGUACCCUCAAGCUUUGCUUGGUGUUGGGCGUCUUUUGUCUUUGGCCUCGCCCAAAGACUCGCCUUAAAACGAUUGGCAGCCGGCCUACUGGUUUCGCAGCGCAGCACAUUUUUGCGCUUGCAAUCAGCACAAGGACGGCAAUCCAUCAAGACUACAUUUUUACGUUUGACCUCGGAUCAGGUAGGGAUACCCGCUGAACUUAAGC
rnacentral:misc_RNA from 1 species